rnacentral:rRNA from 2 species
AACGCGAAGAACCUUACCCACCUUUGACAUGUACGGAAUUCGCCAGAGAUGGCUUAGUGCUCGAAAGAGAACCGUAACACAGGUGCUGCAUGGCUGUCGUCAGCUCGUGUCGUGAGAUGUUGGGUUAAGUCCCGCAACGAGCGCAACCCUUGUCAUUAGUUGCUACAUUUAGUUGGGCACUCUAAUGAGACUGCCGGUGACAAACCGGAGGAAGGUGGGGAUGACGUCAAGUCCUCAUGGCCCUUAUAGGUGGGGCUACACACGUCAUACAAUGGCUGGUACAAAGGGUUGCCAACCCGCGAGGGGGAGCUAAUCCCAUAAAACCAGUCGUAGUCCGGAUCGCAGUCUGCAACUCGACUGCGUGAAGUCGGAAUCGCUAGUAAUCGUGGAUCAGAAUGUCACGGUGAAUACGUUCCCGGGCCUUGUACACACCG